rnacentral:rRNA from 1 species
GACGAACGCUGGCGGCAUGCCUAACACAUGCAAGUCGAACGGUAAGGCUUCCUUCGGGAAGUACACGAGUGGCGAACGGGUGAGUAACACGUGGGUAACCUACCCUUGACUGGGGGAUAACCGAGGGAAACUUCGGCUACUACCGCAUAACGUGCAUUGCCUCAAGGUGGCGUACCAAAGCACCGGCGGUUAAGGAUGGGCCCGCGGCAGAUUAGCUGGUUGGUGAGGUAGCGGCGUACCACGUCGACGAUCUGUAGCUGGUUUGAGAGGACGAUCAGCCACACUGGAACUGAGACACGGUCCAGACUCCUACGGGAGGCAGCGGUGGGGAAUCUUGCGCAAUGGGCGAAAGCCUGACGCAGCAAUGCCGCGUGAGGGAAGACGGCCUUAGGGUUGUAAACCUCUUUCAGCAGAGACGAACACAGACGGUACCUGCAGAAGAAGCCCCGGCUAACUACGUGCCAGCCGCCGCGGUAA